rnacentral:rRNA from 1 species
UACGUAGGGUGCAAGCGUUGUCCGGAAUUAUUGGGCGUAAAGAGCUCGUAGGCGGUUUGUCGCGUCUGCUGUGAAAACUCGGGGCUUAACCCCGGGCCUGCAGUGGGUACGGGCAGACUAGAGUGCGGUAGGGGAGACUGGAAUUCCUGGUGUAGCGGUGAAAUGCGCAGAUAUCAGGAGGAACACCGGUGGCGAAGGCGGCAUCCUGGACCAAUUCUGACGCUGAGCGAGCGAAAGCCUGGGGAGCAAACGGG